rnacentral:rRNA from 1 species
AUUGAACGCUGGCGGCGUGCUUAACACAUGCAAGUCGUACGAGAACGCUUUAGCUUGCUAGAGCUAGUAAAGUGGCGCACGGGUGAGUAACACGUGGGUAAUUUGCCUUCAGGUUCGGGACAACACUGCGAAAGCGGUGCUAAUACCGGAUAAUAUCAGUGAAGCUUCGGCUUUGUGGAUCAAAGGUGGCCUCUACAUGUAAGCCACUGCUUGAAGAAAAGCCCGCGUACCAUUAGCUUGUUGGUGAGGUAACGGCCCACCAAGGCGACGAUGGUUAGCUGGUCUGAGAGGAUGGCCAGCCACACUGGAACUGAGAGACGGUCCAGACUCCUACGGGAGGCAGCAGUGAGGAAUUUUGCGCAAUGGGGGAAACCCUGACGCAGCAACGCCGCGUGAGUGAAGAAGGCCCUUGGGUCGUAAAGCUCUGUCAAGUGGAAAGAAAAUGUUUAUUACGAAUGGUAAUAAACAUUGACGGUACCGCUAAAGGAAGCACCGGCUAACUCCGUGCCAGCAGCCGCAGUAAAAC